rnacentral:lncRNA from 1 species
ACAAGAGGAAAAUGGAAAAACAUUUUAGCAAGUUAAGGGGGAAGAAAUCAACAGUAUCAUUGUUUGCCGCUUUUGUUGAAACUCCCCACACAAGUCAUUUGAGGGACAUGAAGACAAGAGGACUGUGCAUUCGGGGGACACCUGUUUCGAUUUCACAUGCCUCGUGCCAGUAAGCCUGUUUGGAAGGUCUUCAGUGGAUCUCAGGGGCUCCUCUGCUGAUUAUCAACAGUUGCCUCAUUCAGCUGUUUGGUUUUUAUACAAUGGUGAAUUGAAGCUUGAUUUCAUUCAACCUCCAAGUCACUUUUUA